GCAACUUUGGAAGGUUCUCUCAUUCUCAAGAAAGAAAUGUUCAUCAUCCAUUAUCUCCCACCCCCCCAAAAAAAAACGAAUCCAAAAUCUCCAGAAGAAUUUUUAAUCAUCUAUUCAGUAGUUCUCAUUUAAAUCUUUUCUUCAUAACAGUUAACACUGGUCUCCUUCAUCUUCUGGGUUGGAAGUUUUGUUUCAGGUCAAGCGAAUCUAUUAAAAUCUUAAAUUUUGGUUAUUGGAGCUGGAGGUUUAGGAUCACCUGCUUUACUAUAUUUUGCUGCUUAUAGAGUUGGCCGAAUAGGUAUCGUUGAUCAUGAUAUAUUGGAACCUAAUGAUCUGUAGAGGCAUGCACUAUUUGUUGACAGUCUACAAUUACAAUGGAGGUCCAUGCUAUCGAUUCGUAUUUCCAACUCCUCCACCCACAAAUGCUUGUCAGAGAUGUGCCGAAAGUGGAGUACUGAGAGUGGGUCAAACUUCGUGGAAGGUCAUUGCAGUGCGAAGCUUGUGGAGAUCAUGCAGUAUUGACAAGGCCCACAUUUCUGGAUUUCAACUAUGAUAAGUUUAAUCAAACUCCACUAUCUACGGUUAUUUUAUUUUCACAACUUUUCAAUCGUAUUUGAUGUUUAUUGUCCUUUCUUUUUUUGUAUACAACUAAAGACAUAGUGAAAGUAUUCACAUGUGGGUCAUCAUGUAAUUGUCUAUUGUUUCAAGGUCCAUUGAAUUUGAACCUUCUUUCAUCGGAUGCUCAAAUCAGCAGCAUAGAACACAGUGAGAAAGUGAUAAAGAGAGAAGCACAUGUAUUAGUGGAUGUUCGACCUGCUCAUGUCUAUAAGAUUGUUUCACUUUCCAACUCUAUGAACAUACCUCUAUCAUAUUGGAAAACAGAUUGCCUAAAAUAUCUACCGCCUUGGAAAAAAAGGCAAAGAAAAAGACACUCAAUAGUGAUUCAAGUACUUCUCUGUUGUAAUAUCUAGAAGAGGCUAUGAUUCAUAAAGGGUUGUUGAAUUGCUUUACAAAUUGGGGUUCAGUUCAGCUAAGGAUAUAAUUGGGGGCUUAGAGUCAUGGGCUCACAAUGUGAAUCCAAAGUUCCCUAUAUACUAACUAUAUUCAUACAAAAUUAUCAUCCAUACUUCGGUUAGUUUCUCGCCUAUCCUGUGAUGUCUUUAAUCAAAUGUGUAGUUUGUGUACUAGAUUGAGCACCUAUUUUUAACUGAAUGUUGAAGUUCGAUGAUUGGUCGUCGUACUAUUUCGAUUGUUGUUUAACAUUUUUUAUGUCAAUGCAUACACUAGAUUGCUUUUAUCUUCAAAUAUAGCUUCUUGUAGACAUGAGAAGAACAUGUAACGAUUCUCAGAAUAGUGUGAAUAGAAUUAGUUGGAAGAAAGGGAUAUAUAAAACCAAAGGUGUUUUCUAAUAGCUCUUCCAUUCUAGACCUACAUUCUUUAGUCUAGAUGAAAGAAAUGGCCAUGAGUUGAGAUGUCAAAAAGUGGACAACAAUUUGGAUAAACUUUAUUUCUGUUAAGAAUGGGUUAGAGGAUUUUUCAUUUUCUGCGAGUGACAAUGUUACUGGAAAUCACAUAUUUUCAAUUGAUUAACCUUUUUUCUCUGAAAACAAUCUCUCUACCUCUAUGAGGUAGGGGUAAGGACUGUGUAUACUUUACCUUCCCAGACCCCACUACAUUGGGUAUUUUAUCAGUGUUGUUAAUGCUUGUUUUCUUUCUGUUGCAAACUUUUUGUUGCUACUAGAUUUGUUUUCAAUAAACCAAUUAUCUGAUGAUUUAGGACAUACACUAAAUUGUUGCAGGGAUAUCCUCUAUAUGUUCAGCUGUGAGUUCCCAUGAUUCCUCUCAACUAAGUGGAUCAAGGUCGAAUAGCUUCAUUAUUCAAUAAUACUACUCCAAUCUAUCCGCCAGAAUUGCUGCUAAAAAAGCUGGAUAUCCCAAGUGUGUGCUAUUUUUUUAAUCUAUAAUAUGUUGAAAAUACUAUGCCAUUUUUAAUUUGUUGAUGAUGAUUGUAUUGUGCAAACUUUUCUCGAUUUGUAUUUUACAGUUUAGUUGAGCAGGUUUUUGGUUCGGAUCCUAGGGACAACCCUAAAAAAGUCAUGACUUGAGGUA